UGCAAGAUCGAAGUCCAACUUACGAAUAUGUUUGUCAACCUACAAAAUUUCAAGGAAAAAAGAACUCAGAAUAUUAGAAUGUAAGAAAGCUCACGCAAAAGAGAAGGGAUUCGACCAAUAAAGGAGUGGAGUGCGAGAAAUCAAGAAAUCCGAAAAUGAUGCAGACUAUGAUCUUACAGGAUUUAUCAGAUGCUCAAUGAUCCUCAAUAAUCUAGUGUGAAGCCAAAUUGCACAUAAUAUUAUGCACGAUCUAACAUGAUUUUAUUGAUUGCCUAAUAUAAGCGAACUUUAACAGA